CUGUGCAGUGCCUCAUCACCCUUAUUAUAAAAACUUAUUCCUUAUACCCAGUCUAAAUCUCUCUCUAAGUUUGAAACCAACUCCCCUUGUCCUGUCACACAGACCCUGCUAAAGUCCGCUUACCACUCCCAUGGUAAGCCCGUGGCUUUUCGGGCAGCACCUGUGGGGCUCAGACCAGCUGGCUCCUACCUGACACUGGCUCUGCAGCUUCUUGGUGGGUCGGCCAACAAUGUAGAUGUGUGUGGGCGGGAGGCUGAUGGAGCUGUACACAGAGAUGUCCUUGGUGGAUCCAUAUGCCGCAUGGAUCCUCAUGUGGAGAUCUGUGAUGAGGGAUUUCAGGAAGUUGGCCUUGUGCCGCAGUGGGUCGUGAACGAGCCCAUCGCAGAAUGAGACGAUCCCAUGGGGGAA
rnacentral:lncRNA from 1 species